rfam:Kwoniella heveanensis BCC8398 unplaced genomic scaffold supercont1.3, whole genome shotgun sequence.
GCCCGUGUGGCGAAAUUGGUCAUCGCACCCGACUCUUAUGGACGCUGUGUGUGUCUAUCGGGCGAUUGCGGGUUCGAGUCCCGCCAUGGGCU